AAUUCCUCAUCCAUUCUUGAGGGGUAUUCCCAUUUGGCUUCCCAUGCUUAUCCAACUUCCCCUCUGCAAUCAAUUUCUUCUUCAUCGAAGCCUUUGGUCCCAACCCCCACUUCCUUGGGUAAGUAUCCCGAUCCAUCACAACCCUCUUAAUCUUUGCCACGACACCAUGAUCACAUGUAGCCAUCACUGCAGUAGUCAUCUCUGCAAUCCCCAGAGCAAUCGCCUCACCCUUGGUAGUCAUCA
rnacentral:misc_RNA from 1 species